rnacentral:rRNA from 1 species
UGCCAGCCGCCGCGGUAACACGGGGGGCGCAAGCGUUAUUCGGAAUUAUUGGGCGUAAAGGGCGCGUAGGCGGUCUUGUCGGUCAGGUGUGGAAGCCCGGGGCUCAACCCUGGAAGUGCACUUGAGACAGCAAGACUUGAGUACGGGAGAGGAAAGCGGAAUUCCUGGUGUAGAGGUGAAAUUCGUAGAUAUCAGGAGGAACACCGAUGGCGAAGGCGACUUCCUGGGCCAAUACUGACGCUGAGGUGCGAAAGCGUGGGGAGCAAACAGGAUUAGAUA